rnacentral:rRNA from 1 species
GACGUAGGGUGCAAGCGUUGUCCGGAUUUAUUGGGCGUAAAGAGCUCGUAGGCGGCUUGUUGCGUCGACUGUGAAAACCCGCGGCUUAACCGCGGGCUUGCAGUUGAUACGGGCAGGCUAGAGUUCGGUAGGGGAGACUGGAAUUCCUGGUGUAGCGGUGAAAUGCGCAGAUAUCAGGAGGAACACCGGUGGCGAAGGCGGGUCUCUGGGCCGAUACUGACGCUGAGAAGCGAAAGCAUGGGGAGCGAACAGG